UACGUAGGGUGCGAGCGUUGUCCGGAAUUAUUGGGCGUAAAGGGCUCGUAGGCGGUCUGUCGCGUCGGGAGUGAAAACUCAGGGCUUAACCCUGAGCCUGCUUCCGAUACGGGCAGACUAGAGGUAUGCAGGGGAGAAUGGAAUUCCUGGUGUAGCGGUGAAAUGCGCAGAUAUCAGGAGGAACACCGGUGGCGAAGGCGGUUCUCUGGGCCGUAACUGACGCUGAGGAGCGAAAGCGUGGGGAGCGAACAGG
rnacentral:rRNA from 1 species